rnacentral:rRNA from 1 species
AUUGAACGCUGGCGGCAGGCCUAACACAUGCAAGUCGAGCGAGCGGCGGACGGGUGAGGAAUGUAUGGGGACUGCCCGAUAGAGGGGGAUAACUAAUGGAAAAGGUAGCUAAUACCGCAUACGAUCGGAUAACACAUAUGGGAUUAGCUAGUAGGUGAGGGAAUGGCUCACCUAGUGGACGAUCCCUAGCUGGUCUGAGAGGAUGACCAGCCACACUGGGACGGAGACACGGCCCAGACUCCUACGGAGGCAGCAGUGGGGAAUAUUGGACAAUGGGGGAAACCCUGAUGCAGCCAUGCCGCGGGUAUGAAGAAGGCCUUAGGGUUGUAAAGCACUUUCAGUAGGGAGGCGUUACCGGCAGAAUAAGCACCGGCUAACUACGUGCCAGCAGCCGCGGUAAUAC